CAGCAGCCGCGGGAAUACGUAGGGUGCGAGCGUUAAUCGGAAUUACUGGGCGUAAAGCGUGCGCAGGCGGUUGUGUAAGACAGGUGUGAAAUCCCCGGGCUUAACCUGGGAACUGCGCUUGUGACUGCACAGCUAGAGUAUGGCAGAGGGGGGUGGAAUUCCACGUGUAGCAGUGAAAUGCGUAGAGAUGUGGAGGAACACCGAUGGCGAAGGCAGCCCCCUGGGCCAAUACUGACGCUCAUGCACGAAAGCGUGGGGAGCAAACAGGAUUAGAGACCCCAGUAGUCCCUGUCUCUUAUAC
rnacentral:rRNA from 1 species